AUUGAACGCUGGCGGCAUGCCUUACACAUGCAAGUCGAACGGCAGCGCGGGACAAUCCUGGCGGCGAGUGGCGAACGGGUGAGUAAUAUAUCGGAACGUGCCCAGUAGUGGGGGUACCGGCCGAAGACGCGUAUACGCUGGACCUCAGGGUGGAAGACGGGGGUCGCAGACCUCGCGCUAUUGGUGGCGGCCGAUAUCAGAUUAGCUAGUUGGUUGGGGUAAAGGCCGUACCAAGGCACGAUCUGUAGUUGGUCUGAGAGGACGACCAGCCACACUGGGACGUGAGACACGGCCCACGACUCCUACGGGAGGCAGCAGUGGGGAAGUU
rnacentral:rRNA from 1 species